ACGCUCGACACCUACUGGAGGCAGCAGUCGGGAAUAUUGCGCAAUGGAGGAAACUCUGACGCAGUGACGCCGCGUGCAGGAAGAAGGUUUUCGGAUUGUAAACUGCUUUAGACAGGGAAGAACAAAUGACAGUACCUGUAGAAUAAGCUCCGGCUAACUACGUGCUAGCAGCCGCGGUAAUCUGAGCGGGCUGGCAAGGC
rnacentral:rRNA from 1 species